AUUGAACGCUGGCGGCAGGCCUAACACAUGCAAGUCGAGCGGUAACACAGGGAGCUUGCUCCCGGGUGACGAGCGGCGGACGGGUGAGUAAUGUCUGGGAAACUGCCUGAUGGAGGGGGAUAACUACCGGAAACGGUAGCUAAUACCGCAUAAUGUCGCAAGACCAAAGAGGGGGACCUUCGGGCCUCUUGCCAUCAGAUGUGCCCAGAUGGGAUUAGCUAGUAGGUGGGGUAACGGCUCACCUAGGCGACGAUCCCUAGCUGGUCUGAGAGGAUGACCAGCCAGACUGGAACUGAGACACGGUCCCGACUCCUACGGGAGGCAGCAGUGGGGAAUAUUGCACAAUGGGCGCAAGCCUGAUGCAGCCAUGCCGCGUGUAUGAAGAAGGCCUUCAGGUUGUAAAGUACUUUCAGCGGGGAGGAAGGUGCUGAGGUUAAUAACCUCAGCAAUUGACGUUACCCGCAGAAGAAGCACCGGCUAACUCCGUGCCAGCAGCCGCGGUAA
rnacentral:rRNA from 1 species